AGCAGCCGCGGUAAUUCCAGCUCCAAUAGCGUAUAUUAAAGUUGUUGCAGUUAAAAAGCUCGUAGUUGAAUUUCGGGGUUAGUAGAUUGGUCAUGCCUCUGGUAUGCACUGGUCUUACUGAUUCCUCCUUCCUGAUGAACCGUAAUGCCAUUAAUUUGGUGUUGCGGGGAAACUGGACUGUUACUUUGAAAAAUUAGAGUGUUUAAAGCAGGCUAACGCUUGAAUACAUUAGCAUGGAAUAAUGAAAUAGGACGUUCGACCUUAUUUUGUUGGUUUCUAGGAUUGACGUAAUGAUUAAUAGGGAUAGUUGGGGGCAUUAGUAUUCAAUUGUCAGAGGUGAAAUUCUUGGUAUUUAUUGAAGACUAACUACUGCG
rnacentral:rRNA from 1 species